AGUAAAUAGAUACCCUGGUAGUCCACGCCGUAAACGGUGGGUACUAGGUGUGGGUUUCCUUCCUUGGGAUCCGUGCCGUAGCUAAACGCAUUAAAGUACCCCGCCUGGGGAGUACGGCCGCAAGGCUAAAACUCAAAGGAAUUGACGGGGGCCCGCACAAGCGGCGGAGCAUGUGGAUUAAUUCGAUGCAACGCGAAGAACCUUACCUGGGUUUGACAUGCACAGGACGCCAGUAGAGAUAUUGGUUCCCUUGUGGCCUGUGUGCAGGUGGUGCAUGGCUGUCGUCAGCUCGUGCCGUGAGAUGUUGGGUUAAGUCCCGCAACGAGCGCAACCCUUGUCUCAUGUUGCCAGCACGUUAUGGUGGGGACUCGUGAGAGACUGCCGGGGUCAACUCGGAGGAAGGUGGGGAUGACGUCAAGUCAUCAUGCCCCUUAUGUCCAGGGCUUCACACAUGCUACAAUGGCCGGUACAAAGGGCUGCGAUGCCGUGAGGUGGAGCGAAUCCUUUC
rnacentral:rRNA from 1 species